rnacentral:rRNA from 1 species
GUCGAGGGGCAGCGGGGGCACUGGUUCGCCAGUGCCUGCCGGCGACCGGCGCACGGGUGAGUAACACGUAUGCAACCUGGCCUCUGCAGGGGGAUAACCGGUGGAAACACCGCCUAAUACCCCGCGACGCCACCCCGGGGCAUCCCGGGGCGGCCAAAGGAGCGAUCCGGCGGAGGAUGGGCAUGCGGCGCAUUAGCUGGUCGGCGGGGUGACGGCCCACCGAGGCGACGAUGCGUAGGGGUUCUGAGAGGAAGGCCCCCCACACUGGGACUGAGACACGGCCCAGACUCCUACGGGAGGCAGCAGUGAGGAAUAUUGGUCAAUGGGCGGAAGCCUGAACCAGCCAAGUCGCGUGAGGGAUUAAGGCCCUACGGGUCGUAAACCUCUUUUGCCGGGGAUCAGUGCCCAGCUCGCGAGCUGGGAGGGAGCGUACCCGGAGAAAAAGCAUCGGCUAACUCCGUGCCAGCAGCCGCGGUAAUACGGAGGAUGCGAGCGUUAUCCGGAUUUAUUGGGUUUAAAGGGUGCGUAGGCGGGCCUUCAGGCCGGCGGUAAAAUUGCGGGGCUCAACCCCGCCGAGCCGUCGGAACCGGGGGCCUUGAGUACCGGAGAAGUACGCGGAAUGCGUGGUGUAGCGGUGAAAUGCAUAGAUAUCACGCAGAACCCCGAUUGCGAAGGCAGCGUACCGGCCGGUCACUGACGCUGAGGCACGAAAGCGCGGGUAUCGAACAGGAUUAGAUACCCUGGUAGUCCGCGCAGUAAACGAUGGACGCUAGCUGUCCGGCCCGAACGGGGGCUGGGUGGCACAGCGAAAGCGUUAAGCGUCCCACCUGGGGAGUACGCCGGCAACGGUGAAACUCAAAGGAAUUGA